UGACAACCAAAAGGUUGUUUUUGGUAGAUAUUAAAGAUCAUGGGUGGGCGGGGCAAAUGGAGCAGUUUUCUACAGUCGAGUAAAAUUCCAGGAAAGAGCUGGGUGUGGCUUUCCUUUAAAUCACAUGAUCAACAGCUUUAAGAUGGAGGCAACUCGCUCAGUGUUUCCUGUUUCAUUCUUAGACUGUGGCGAUGGUAAGUAGCAGCUUUUCACUUGUUACCUGGCAUCUUUUCAGCCACCAAUGAUAGUCAUUGUAUGUUAUCAACAUUUCACUAACUAUGUUUUCUCUCAUGUUUAAAAUAGGCCGACCAAGAGCAAAAUAGAAGACAACAAUUUCUCAAAGGAGGUUCAAAACUAAUGCCUACAAGAUUACCAAGAGGAGGGUUCGGGGCUCUUACAUGACUCCGGGAAGUCAACACUUGGUGGAUGAGAUCCUUCACAGCAUGUUGUUUCUGGGCAAAAUCAACAACAUCCCCUUUUCUCCAGAAGAAAUCUUCCCUAAUCCUUUUGUGUUGGGUUCUUUAAUGAGAAGAUAUCCCAGGCCUUUAAAGUUGUAUUCGACUCAGCUUCCCAGGCGAAGUCCCUUCUCCUGUGUGCUCGACAUGGUAAGAUAACUCUUCUCACAUUUUCAGUCAAUCUGACAAACUUCCAGUUUUUAGGAAAGUAUAAUGCAAAGUGCUUUUUUACUGAGAAAUCCAAAGAAAAUCCAUACUGUACCUUAUACUUCAACAUAUGCUUCUAGCUAUACUUCUCCACCAAACACAGAGACUGCAGGAGAGCUGGAGACUUGCUUCAGAAUUUGUUAGUUCUAAAUAAUGUCUAACAGACUCAUUAUUGGAGAUGCUUACAGUCUUCAAGGCGUAUAUGAUGCUGUCACUGUGUAGCUGCUGGAUCUGUUAAGCUCAAAGACUCUAAAUUCAGCGUGUUUUGACAGCCCGGCAUAGCAAAAUAGAAAAAAAAAGGUCAAUUAGCAAAUUUAAUUAUAAAUUAGUGAGAACAAAGAUGGAUUUUUGCUUAUUGAUUUAAAAUUAAAUAGAUUUUUGUGACUUGUUUCACCCCCUAUCUUAAAAUGUCUAAAUCAAAAGCAUCCAAUGGUCCUGCAUAGUUAAAUAAGUCAAGCAGCGAAACAAACAUGUUGAUCAACUUUCUAUGAAAAACAACUAUAUAAUCAG